UGGAAUCCUGUGUGGAUGUUGCAAUCUUCGGCUAUAUACGAGAACUUAUUGGUGGAGGUAAGAAUGGAAAAAAGAAAGAAUGAAAAAAGAAAAGAAUGAAAAAUAUAGAGAAAGAUGAAAAAAGAGAUCGAGCAUACAUUGCAUACAUAACAUAGUCCAUACGUCACACACAACUUCACAAAACAUCCCUUUGUACAGAUGACCCAUUUUCCCC
rnacentral:lncRNA from 1 species